AUUCGUACUCCUCAUCUCAUGGCCCUCCUAAUCAACCAAUUGGAAUUUUGUUUCGAAGAACUUCACAGCAACCACCGUUUCUCCAUCUCUGACCGAUUCGAGGAAGUAGGAGAUACCAGACCAAGUUCGAUGGAUAGAGUCACAACAUGUGACAGUAGAAGUCGUGUUGUCCUGGAGGGUUUUAUGAUUUUGCUCUAUUUUCAACAGGAUGUUACAUAGAUGAUUUUGUUACCCAUGUUUAAUGUUGUUUCUAUUUUCUUUAAUUUUCCAGGUUUUUAUUUCAAUAUGACUGGAGCUAACUCAAGGAGAUUAACGAGGAUGACGAGAAACUGAUGGAUGCAUUCUUAUCCAAGGACCCAGGUUCCUAGACAACAACACUUGCAGAUGUUUUG